AUUGAACGCUGGCGGCAUGCUUUACACAUGCAAGUCGAACGAGUGGCAGGGGUGUGAAACAUGUAUCGGAACGUGCCCAGUAGCGGGGGAUAACUACUCGAAAGAGUGGCUAAUCCCGCAUACUAUUCGCGCGGCCGAUAUCGGAUUAGCUAGUUGGUGGGGUAAAGGCUCACCAAGGCAACGAUCCGUAGCUGGUUUGAGAGGAUGACCAGCCACACUGGAAUGGAGACACGGCCCAGACUCCUACGGGAGGCAGCAGUGGGGAAUGUUGGACAAUGGGGGAAACCCGGACGAAGCAAUGCCGCGUGUAUGAGAAGGUCUUCGGGUUGUAAAGUACUUUUGGAAGGGAAGCGGUAUCUACAGAAUAAGCACCGGCUAACUACGUGCCAGCAGCCGCGGUAAUUC
rnacentral:rRNA from 1 species